rnacentral:rRNA from 1 species
GUAGGGGUAAAAUCCGUAGAGAUCAGAAGGAAUACCGAUUGCGAAGGCGAUCUACUGGAACAUAACUGACGCUGAGACGCGAAAGCGUGGGGAGCAAACAGGAUUAGAUACCCUGGUAGUCCACGCCCUAAACGAUGUACACUAGUUGUUGCCAUACUAGAUAUGGCAGUAAUGCAGUUAACACAUUAAGUGUACCGCCUGGGGAGUACGGUCGCAAGAUUAAAACUCAAAGGAAUAGACGGGGACCCGCACAAGCGGUGGAGCAUGUGGUUUAAUUCGACGAUACGCGAAGAACCUUACCUGGUCUUGACAUAGUAAGAAUAUUUUAGAGAUAGAAUAGUGCUAGCUUGCUAGAACUUACAUACAGGUGCUGCACGGCUGUCGUCAGCUCGUGUCGUG